rnacentral:lncRNA from 1 species
AGAGUCAAGAGCCCGAGUCAAUAGGAAACCAGUUCCAAGGGACUCAGCUAAGCCACUCAGAGAAAAAAAGACCUGAGCUUUAUUCGGAGAGGAAAAAAAAAAAAAAUGGUCACUGGAUAGAUGGUCCCUUUGGAUCACGUGCUCAUCCCUGGCCCAGUCAGCUGUGAUCAGAGGAGCAAGACCGUGAGAUAAGGCUUGAAACCUAAGGAAUUUCAAAGAGGGGGCCAUGAUGGGCAUUCAGCGGCAUCUCAGGAGGGGGCAGAGUAACCAGCAGGUGCUUUGCAUGCUGGUCUGGUGUGUCUGGAAAAGGCAUCCCGCUAAAACGUUUGUCAGGAAACUUCUCAUCAGCAUUUCCAGCAUGCAGGAGCAACCAAGAGAGCCACUUAGAUACCAUUUGAUUAUAAUGUGUUUCUCAGAGAAAUAAAUAGCCCAAAUGGAAGCACA